rnacentral:rRNA from 1 species
UGGGGAAUAUUGCACAAUGGGCGCAAGCCUGAUGCAGCAACGCCGCGUGAGGGAUGACGGCCUUCGGGUUGUAAACCUCUUUUAGUAGGGAAGAAGCGAAAGUGACGGUACCUGCAGAAAAAGCACCGGCUAACUACGUGCCAGCAGCCGCGGUAAUACGUAGGGUGCGAGCGUUGUCCGGAAUUAUUGGGCGUAAAGAGCUCGUAGGCGGUCUGUCGCGUCUGCUGUGAAAACCCCGAGGCUCAACCUCGGGCCUGCAGUGGGUACGGGCAGACUAGAGUGCGGUAGGGGAGAAUGGAAUUCCUGGUGUAGCGGUGGAAUGCGCAGAUAUCAGGAGGAACACCGAUGGCGAAGGCAGUUCUCUGGGCCCGUAACUGACGCUGAGGAGCGAAAGCGUGGGGAGCGAACAGGAUUAGAUACCCUGGUAGUCCACGCCGUAAACGUUGGGCGCUAGAUGUGGGGACCAUUCCACGGUUUCCGUGUCGCAGCUAACGCAUU